rnacentral:rRNA from 1 species
UACGUAGGGUCCAAGCGUUAUCCGGAAUCACUGGGCGUAAAGCGUGCGUAGGCGGGGAUUUAAGUGUGAUGUUAAAUCAUGUGGCUCAACCAUAUUGAUGCAUCGCAUACUGGAUACCUGGAGGAAGGCAGAGGCAAGUGGAACUAGUAGUGUAGCAGUGAAAUGCGUAGAGAUUACUAAGAACACCAAUGGCGAAGGCAGCUUGCUGGGCCUUUUCUGACGCUGAGGUACGAAAGCGUGGGGAGCGAACAGG